AGUGCUUCUAUCUCCGCAUGUAGAGGGGAUAGACAAGCUCGGACAUUCCUUGCUCCUAACAACCCAUCAAAGCCUUCUAAAGUACUUAGCCAACCUUGCCCAGAGAAAACUUCAUUCUCCUUCCAAGAACCAUCUGUAAAACACCAUCUCCCCGGAAUUGAUGGGAGAGUCGUAACCUCAACAUGGGACCCUAUCCUGGUCUCGGUCAAUACAUGUGCAUUAGCCCAAAGUGUUGACUCUGUUUCUGC
rnacentral:lncRNA from 1 species